UACGGAGGGUGCAAGCGUUGUUCGGAUUUAUUGGGCGUAAAGCGCGUGUAGGCGGUCUUCUAAGUCGUGAUGUGAAAGCCCUGGGCUCAACCCAGGAAGUGCAUUGGAUACUGGAAGACUUGAAUACGGGAGAGGGUAGUGGAAUUCCUAGUGUAGGAGUGAAAUCCGUAGAUAUUAGGAGGAACACCCGUGGCUAAGGCGGCUCUCGUAGUACGGUACUGACGCUGAGACGCGAAA
rnacentral:rRNA from 1 species